UACGUAGGGUGCAAGCGUUGUUCGGAAUCAUUGGGCGUAAAGCGCGUGUAGGUGGUUAGGUAAGUCGGGUGUGAAAGCCCUGGGCUCAACCGAGGAAGUGCAUCCGAAACUACCUAGCUAGAGGACGGUAGAGGAAGGUGGAAUUCCAAGUGUAGAGGUGAAAUUCGUAGAUAUUUGGAGGAAUACCGGUGGCGAAGGCGGCCUUCUGGGCCGUUCCUGACACUGAGACGCGAAAGCGUGGGUAGCAAACAGG
rnacentral:rRNA from 1 species